rnacentral:rRNA from 1 species
UACGUAGGGCGCAAGCGUUAUCCGGAAUUAUUGGGCGUAAAGAGCUCGUAGGCGGUUUGUCGCGUCUGCCGUGAAAGUCCGGGGCUCAACCCCGGAUCUGCGGUGGGUACGGGCAGACUUGAGUGCAGUAGGGGAGACUGGAAUUCCUGGUGUAGCGGUGAAAUGCGCAGAUAUCAGGAGGAACACCGGUGGCGAAGGCGGGUCUCUGGGCCGAUACUGACGCUGAGGCGCGAAGGCGUGGGGAGCAAACAGG